CUGCUGCCUUCCGUAGGAGUCUGGACCGUGUCUCAGUUCCAGUGUGGCUGGUCAUCCUCUCAGACCAGCUAGGGAUCGUCGCCUAGGUGAGCCGUUACCCCACCUACUAGCUAAUCCCAUCUGGGCACAUCCGAUGGCAAGAGGCCCGAAGGUCCCCCUCUUUGGUCUUGCGACGUUAUGCGGUAUUAGCUACCGUUUCCAGUAGUUAUCCCCCUCCAUCAGGCAGUUUCCCAGACAUUACUCACCCGUCCGCCA
rnacentral:rRNA from 1 species